UAAUAGGUAUUAGGCACAUCUUGUUCACAAGUAAGAAACUUCAAAAGUAAGAAAAUGCAUACAAAUUCAAGGUAUGUCAAGUGCUAAUCCCUACCUAUUUUAUAAAUGCGAAAAUGUGUUUGUUUGUUGAUUUAUUGGUUUGUCCUUCAAUCACGCCGGAACGGAGCAACACAUCAACCUGAUUUUGGCACAGACAACAAACUAACAAAUCAAUAACCAACCAAACAAACACACUUUCGCAUUUAUAAUAUGGAUACUUGGUGAUUGUAUCAGGUUAUGGGCCCAGCACACUUCCAAUUCACACAAAGUCGCGGGCAUAAAACAAAAUAAAAAAAUACCAAACUAGCAAUAAAAUGAAAUGCGCUCCAUUUUAAUAAUAAUAAUAUUUAUUUUACAAGUCUACCGUUUGGCCAAAAUUUUGGAAGAAUACCUUUACACUUCGCUCCGUCGACACAUCGUUACAGUUUAUACAAUUUACAAAGUAUAGGAAUUACUAUAGAAUUAUAUCGAUUACUGCAGACACAUCACUGUAGGGUUAGCACGAGUUUGUACAUCUCGACAGCUUUGAUAGAUUAGAACAUUGAAGCACUGACGUCAAAACGACAAAAAAUAAAAAUGGAGCUAAACUGCCUUGUUUUAGCUAAAGUUUCCCUGUGCAUCUGCUGCCAGCGUCAACGGAAACAUUGUAAAACAAAAUUUUAAAAUGUAUUUUUAAAAAACAAUUCUAAAAUUAUGACCUUUAGGUCCAUUAUACAGUGCUCGAUGUUCAAAAUCUAUCAACGCCUUUUAUCUCGCCAGCGUUGAUAGAUUAUUACUAGGUAUCGAAAAUAGAAACAUCAUAAAGUCAGAGUAAAAUGAACUUAAAGUUAAUUGUUUUAAGGUUUGAAUUCGCUAAACAUGUAACACCAGCGCCUCAAGCAGUAACAUUGUGAAACAAAAACUGAAAAAACAACUUUAAACCCAUGAGCUUCAAGUCCAUUUUACUCUGACUUUAUAGUGUUUCAGUGUUGGCCGUUCUAUUGACGUUGGCGAAUUGAUCAAAGUCGUAUUAACCCUACCGACCGCGUUCCGUCGCGGCACACACUGCCCAGUAAUGUGUUUGCACCUUUAAACUAAUACAGUGCAAAGAACCAUUUAGGCAAAGGAUUACUAAAUAUGUUUAUUUCAAAGACAUAUACAUACAUAUCUGGUAAUUGCUAAAAAGUAUUAGGAUUAGACAACAAUUCAUAUUGCAGGAUACUUUCACUAAAAUCUGCAAGCCUAAUACAAGGGAACUCUUCAAAAACUACUUAAAAUACUCAACUAAUAUAAUAUUCUCAUAAACAACAUGUUGGUGGUGGCCUGAUCUAUAUGAGAGAGAAAGCAAUAUAUUUGCAAACGUAUGCAAAUAAACUAUUAUUUUUGAUGACCAAGUUUUAAUAUUUGGCUCGCAGAUCAGCAAAAAUGCCAAAAUAUACAAACAGUGCUUGUUAAUAAAUAUGUGAUAAAAAUUGUCUAAGGAUAAAAAUUACACCAUGUAGCUAAAUAAUUCCUGGAUCAAUAUAAAACCGACAAGUUCACCAACAAAUUUAUGGACUAAUUUAGCAGGAUUUCAGCGCACGAUUCAGCAGACGAUGCGCCAUAGGGGAUCCAAAUACCGGAUUUUUUCAAUACCGGUAUUGAUACCGAAUUUUUUUUUCAAUACCGUGAUACCGGUAUUGGAAUCCCUAGCACCACGCGACAAAUCCAAGCGGACAUACUCCUUUGGUUUUGCACACACAUAUCUAUAGAGCGCUUUUAGACUUUGCUCAGACUUAAAACAUUGUAAAACGAGACAGCGUUAUAUCACUGGCAUAAUUCUGUCUCGUUUUAACUGAAACUUACAUCUGAGCAAGUCAAAGUACGCUACAGAUUUCAACCUAAGGUCUAGUUGAACGUCUGUCCGCCGAGAUAGGGCACUAUCUUACUCGCGUUUUUUGCGUGCCAUAUUCCGCUAGAUUUGUCCAUAGUCUAAAGCCGCAAAUAUACUUAUAAAGCGUGCAAGAAACUGUGGGACGCGUCCGUAAGCUGCGGCUGACAGCCGCGACUAACAGAUGUACACAGUCAUUUAGAACGCGACUUGCGAUGUAUAUCUCAAGAUUACGUGUGACAUUUUACACAGUGUAUGUACUAACCAGACAGUCGCGUCCGUCAGCCGCGACCUAUAAUUUGUUUCCGCCUUAAAACGCCACCGGACACUUCUCAAAUCAAAGAAACAAAUGUGAGGUCCAAACAAAUCAUACUAUAUUAUAUUUUGAUUAUAAAAUAGUACGAACAAGUCGGAUCUGCCCCCCGACUGUGUGAGAAAAACGUAUUCAUGGUUAUCGUUAUCGUCAAGAAAUUCUGCCCUUUGAUUGGUUCAUUCGCCGUUUACCUUUUUUUACUGCCAAUCCAAGGGCAAAAUUUCUUGACGAUAACGAUAACCAUGAAUACGUUUUUCUUACACAAUCGGGGGGGCUGAUCUUAUUCAGUCGGAAGACGCGUUAUAAAUAUAUUUACGACCAAACCGUACGAUAUUUCUAUUUCUAAAUGACUAUUACAUAAUUAUUUCAAAAAUCCGAGAGGACUAAAGAAAGCAAUACUUAAAAAUAUAAUCUAAAAUUACUUAUUGUUAUGUACUCUUUAGGAAAAAUAUUACAUUAUGAAGUUUUUAAACAAACAAGUAUGAAAUAUAAGUACAUUAAGUCUGAAAAUAAGUUUCAAAUACAUUUAACAAAAUAUAUUAUUGCGUAUUAUUAUUAUAAUUACGUAUCUGUAAAAUUAUUGUGGAAUCACCUAAAUAUUUCGUUAAUCUAAACGUUAGGAGACUAAGCACAACUACUUGAAAAAUAAGUGUCCAUUAAAACAGAUCAGUUUAUUUGAGAGCUCAUUAAAUGUAGGUUGCAGGCCGGAACAUUAUUGUCGCUAUUGUAUAUUACUAAUAUCGGUGUCUGUGAUUUUUCAAAUUUCUGUAAAAAUGUGUAGUUUUGAAGUAAGACGGGCUCAAAGUUUUACGUAUGUGAAUACAUUUUGAGAACUCAUUCGCCAUUUUGGUUCUAUGUUUCAACGGUCAAAAGUACGAUUUUAGUCCUUAAUCUAAGGGUAAAACUUACUUUUGACACGACAGUUGACACAGAGCAUAUAUGGCGUGUGAAUUCUAAAAAUUUAUGCAUUAUACAAUUCUUAGAGCUGAGGUAAUUUCGAAACUAUUUUUACGGGUACAUGAAAAGCACAAAGACAGAUAUUUGUCUCUAGAACCUGUCUACAAACAUUGAGUUUGAUUGGAUAUUAUCCAAAUGAACAAACUACGUUCGUGUGGAAAGCGCUGGAGAGCGCACUAGGUUUAUUUCUCUUUAUGAUAGAGUUCAGCAAAAACCACACUAGUGUAUUGGUCUCGAUAUCUCGCUCUCACAUUUUCUGUAAGAAAAGGACAGAAUGUUAUAGUCCCGUCAAAUUAAACAGUCUCCUAUUUUAUCUAACCUAUUUUAAUGGGCACAUAGUAUUUAAUAAAAAUAGGUAAAUAUACAUUUUUAAAUACACAUUUGGAAAUUUUGAAUCUUUUCUAGAACAUUACUUUAAAGAUCUGAAUCGUAUCGUUACUACUGGAUACAUUAACUUAUUAUAAAGGAAACUGCAUUAAAGAUUUUGUUAUAGAAUUAAUCUAAAAAUAUUUUUGAUAAAAAAAUCGAUGUCAACUUUUGUCUGCACGAUCAAAUCAAUAGGUACCACAAUGAUAAGUAGCAUGAAAUAUCACUUUUUCAAAAAAACCCACACCAAAUAGACUGUUUCCUUAAUUUUGUUUGACCAAAUUAAAACAAAACUUUUAAUGAAAUUGUAAGCAAACAGUUAAAACCACAAAGACUAUAGGAAAAAGAGGGACAGAGCCUAAUACAAACAAGUAAACUUUAAAAUCAUAACAAAUUUUAUUUUUAAAAAAGAUAAUGUAUCACGCACAUAGCGAUGUGUCGCGCAUAUUCCUAUUUCAAAUAAUCUUUGAAAAACAUGUUUCAUAUGUUAACAAUCAAAUUACCGUCUUUCCUUUUCCUUUAAUCCGUGGUUUACCUUUAAAAGAUAUCUUUCAAUAUCUAAAAAAUAUGCGAACCACUAGAAAAGUAUAAAUCGCACAUUAGAUUUAUAUUAAGGCCAAUUAUAUUCUAAAUCUAAGACAUAACAAUUGUUUACAAAGCAGUAACAAUAUUUUUUCAAACUAUAAUUUUAGCAUAUCGUCGCUUUCAAUGAGAAAAAUCAUUAUAACGAUAGCACUAUUAAAUAUAACGUUGCAUUAUUUGAUAACGUUAUGAAAAUAGAGUAAUAACGUUAUUAUGCUAUUGUGUAUAUUAUGCUAUCAUAAUUAGUUAUGAUAAGUCUCCUUUAUCGCGAUCCCCUGCGUUUUGAAUACAAACUUAAUUUGGUUCUCAUUUGAAUACUAACCAAUCAAAUUGAAUUGAAUUUUAUAGACACAUUCUAGAAACAAAAAUAUGUGUCUUUGGUUUGCCAGAUUGUCGUAAACAUGUGCAGUUUCAAAAUUAUACGGGCUCCAAGAUUUGUAUGUAACUCUUUGUGCUAGUGUGA